rnacentral:tRNA from 1 species
GGGGACAUAGCUCAGUGGUACACCAUGUGCUUCUUAUGUACAGGGCCCUGGGUUCCAUCCCCAGUACCACAG